ACGGAUGAGUGAUUUUGUUAUUAAAAGUGGUUAAUUACAGAAUUAUGGUUAGAAUCUGGAGAAUCAGGGAAAAGUAUAUAAGAGUUGUAGAAGUUAAUUAAGGUGCCAAACUGCGAUAGUACUGAGCCGGGAUAAGCUUGGUGCUACCUCUUUUCUUUUGUUUGUUAUUUUCUUUAAAUAAGAGGAUUGAGAGUUUCUGAAUAUUGUGAAGUGAAUUAUGGAAUGGAAAUGUGAUUGAUAUUAUUUGAGAAGAAGAAAGAUUGAAUGCUGAAAUCUGAUU
rnacentral:lncRNA from 1 species